AGCAGCCGCGGUAAUUCCAGCUCCAAUAGCGUAUAUUAAAGUUGUUGCAGUUAAAAAGCUCGUAGUUGAAUUUCGAGAUCGGCUUACUGGUCGUGCUUUUGUACGUACUGGUAAAUCGGUUUCUCCUUUCUGACGAACUUUAAUGCCAUUAAUUUGGUGUUUUAGGGAAUCAGGACUGUUACUUUGAAAAAAUUAGAGUGUUUAAAGCAGGCUCACGCUUGAAUACAUUAGCAUGGAAUAACGGAAUAGGACGUUUGAUUCUAUUUUGUUGGUUUCUAGGAUCGACGUAAUGAUUAAUAGGGAUAGUUGGGGGCAUUAGUAUUCAAUUGUCAGAGGUGAAAUUCUUGGAUUUAUUGAAGACUAACUACUGCGAAAGCAUUUGCCAAGGAUGUUUUCAUUAAUCAAGAACGAAAGUUAGGGGAUCGAAGACGAUCAGAUACCGUCGUAGUCUUAACCAUAAACUAUGCCGACUAGGGAUCGGAUGAUGUUAAUUUUUUGAUGACUCAUUCGGCGCCUUACG
rnacentral:rRNA from 1 species